rnacentral:lncRNA from 1 species
UUCUUUUUCUUUGCUCCAUGGUUUCAAGGGUGAUUUCUUUUUCUUGUUUCUUUUCAUAUUUUCACCCUUUCAUAAAAACUCACUUUUCCAAGUUUCUAAUCACAUCUUUUUACUUUACUCUCCCCAACUUUAGAUUUCAAAACCAAAUUUAUUCAAUAAUGCUCCCUACUUAGACAUAAGCAAAAGGCAAAAUUUGCAAACAACUCGGUUUGAGGGUUCAAUUGAUACGAAAGAAAUUAGGAUUCAUUUAUUCCAAAAUUUUCAAUUGAUUUUACAAUUAUCAAUCAAAUGAAUCCUAAAAUAAGCUCAAAGGGGUUUAAC